AAUAACAAAUUUCAUAUAGCCCACGGAGUAUAAAUAGAAGCGUUCGCAAGCUCCAACCUCCAUUCAUCAGCCGUCGCACACCACUUUCCCAAAACCCUCUCCAAUCUCUCAUUUCCAGCUCUUAAAAUCUAUCACUUCAAUUGCAGAAAAUGGUACACAGGUGCUCUGUCGCCCCCAUGACAAGCAAUUGUAAGCCUUUUCUAUUUCAGAUCCUCAUACUCAAUGUAGGUUUAAUUGUUUGGAUCACUUUUGCAGCUUCAUGAAUGGUGUGGGUGAUUCUUGCUCUGUUUCUGCACUUUUUAUUUUUGUUUCUUAGAUAUGAAUGAUCUUAGUAAGAUAACAUCUUUUGGAUGUUAUCUUUUUUGGCUUUAUUGGAAUGGGUGGACUCGGAAAUAUGAUACUUGGAUGUUUUCUACGGACGUUUGUUGGUUUAACUAAAUUUCUAGUUCUAGAUGAUGUAUGGAACGAGAAUUUAGUUAAAUUAUGUAGUCCCAAAUUUAAUCGCUGUAGGUGAAUUUUCCAAGUAUUUAGAUUAGUUUUAAAUAUUUUGAUUUUGAGUUGAAGUAUAAACAAGGAGAUUGGUGAUUCUAAAUGACCGUCAAGUUCAAUUGACGUAAAUUACGAAAGUUCUUUUUUCCUUGUGGUUUGUUUCCUGUGUCUUUCAACUUAAUUUGUUCCGGUUAUCGUUUUUUUGAGAGUUUGAAUGAAGACGCACACGGAUCUAAGCGCGGUUAGCUUAAAUUUUUGUAAGCUUGACGGAAAGCUAAAUAUAUGUAAUUUGUCUUGUGGUUUGCUUCCAGACCAAAAGUGAUUCCAACUUUUAUAAGUUACACAAAAUAAAUCAAAAGUUAUAUUCAUUGUUUUUAUUUUGUUAAUAAAUUGACAUUGUAAUUUUGUAUAACACUUUAAGGAAAUCGUUUAUUAUUAUUAACUAGGUUCAUAAAUUGUAAGUUUUAGUACAAAAUUUAAACAAUUUUUUUUAGGUAUAUAAAGGACGUUAUAUCUACAACCGGUAAUAUUUAUAUCGGAAAGUACAUGCAACGUUUAACUUCAUAUGAUGAUUAAAAGUAGUUUUUGUUUAUUAUUAUCAUCUAUAUAAAGAUGUCAAAUGAAAUUAAAAAAAUGGUACAAAUCAACAGAUAGUUGGAUUACGUGCAUUGGAUAAGAGAUAUUGCCAACAAUAUGUGUUACCACAUCAUACUACUCUUUUGAUAUAAUUUCUAAGCCUUUCAAAUCAAUUUCAUAAACCAAACACCAUAUACUACAAAUUUCAUAAAUAUUAACAAAUGGACAUAUUAAAACAAUGCUGAAAUAUUUUAAUUACAAUAAAAAAAGUCAAAUCCCCCGUUUUAGUUAUAAUAAAAAACAUGUCAUUCUAAAAAAAAUGUCAAAUUAUUGUCAAUCGUUUUUGCUUGCAAAUAGACUCCCAUUUUUGAGUCGUAAGAAAAAUUGUAUUUCCCUAUGAGAAUUGGAAGGAUAGAAUGAAGGAAAACACUAAAUCAUUUAAACAAAUAAUAGCCAACUCAGAUAAUCUCUCUGUGUAUUCUUCCAAAAUUUUGUAGGGCAAGUUUGAUUCUUGUGUAGCGAAAGUUGUUAAUCUUUACAUCAUGUUGCAAGUUAAAUUAGUAAUUUUUGUCUAUUUGUAUGACACGUCGUGAUUGAAAUUUUUAUCCAUUUACAACUUCGUGAUCAACUAAUCUUUCUUCUAAAUGUUUUGUUUUUUGAGAGCCUGAAUUUGUAUCCACACAACAUUAACAUAUCGAUAGACUUUAACAUAUAACCUUAACUAGAUUAUAACUCAGUGUACAAUAUGAUUAACAGAAUAAAAUAUGUAGACUAUAAAAAUUGUAAACCUUAAUCAUAAAUUUACAAACAUUUAUUUUUAUAGAAAAUUUGAUGUUUUGUUCGUAAAACUAUAAUUGUUAUUUCUUAAUUAAUAUCUAAAAUCGUUUUUUAAUUAAUAUCUAAAGUUGUUUCAAAA
rnacentral:lncRNA from 1 species